GCCUUCGGGGUGUAGUGGUCAGCACGCUCGGCGCGUAUUCAAGACGUCUGUGGUUCGAUUCCUGGUGAAGGCA
rnacentral:tRNA from 1 species